AUUGAACGCUGGCGGCAGGCCUAACACAUGCAAGUCGAACGGUAACAGGAAGCAGCUUGCUGCUUUGCUGACGAGUGGCGGGCGGGUGAGUAAUGUCUGGGAAACUGCCUGAUGGAGGGGGAUAACUACUGGAAACGGUAGCUAAUACCGCAUAACGUCGCAAGACCAAAGAGGGGGACCUUAGGGCCUCUUGCCAUCGUAUGUGCCCAGAUGGGAUUAGCUAGUGGGUGGGGUAACGGCUCACCUGGGCGACGAUCCCUAGCUGGUCUGAGAGGAUGACCAGCCACCCUGGAACUGAGACACGGUCCAGACUCCUACGGGAGGCAGCAGUGGGGAAUAUUGCACAAUGGGCGCAAGCCUGAUGCAGCCAUGCCGCGUGUAUGAAGAAGGCCUUCGGGUUGUAAAGUACUUUCAGCGGGGAGGAAGGGAGUAAAGUUAAUACCUUUGCUCAUUGACGUUACCCGCAGAAGAAGCACCGGCUAACUCCGUG
rnacentral:rRNA from 1 species